rnacentral:rRNA from 1 species
UACGAAGGGGGCUAGCGUUGCUCGGAAUCACUGGGCGUAAAGCGCACGUAGGCGGCUUUCUAAGUCAGGGGUGAAAUCCUGGAGCUCAACUCCAGAACUGCCUUUGAUACUGGAGAGCUUGAGUCCGGGAGAGGUGAGUGGAACUCCGAGUGUAGAGGUGAAAUUCGUAGAUAUUCGGAAGAACACCAGUGGCGAAGGCGGCUCACUGGCCCGGUACUGGCGCUGAGGUGCGAAAGCGUGGGGAGCAAACAGG